UGAGUAAGUCAGCUUAAUCUAGAACUUCCCCUCAAGGUGAGUCUAGAACGGAGGAACCAAAAUUAGGGGCGCAUUUAUACUUUACCAGUGCUUUUUAGUACAAUAGGUUAAGUAUAGAGGGAUAUCUCUCAAUCCUAGCCCGUCAGCUAACUUCGUAAGCGUGGAGAGGAGAUUG
rnacentral:sRNA from 2 species